GACGAAUGCUGGCGUAAUGCCUAAGCCGGGUGCUUCACGGGGUAGCAAUACCACUGGCGCACGGGUGAGUAACACUUAAGUUAUCUGCCCCCAUCGCGUGGAAACCUCGGGAAACCGAGGCUAAUAUCUGAUGAGGUCGUGAGAUCAAAGCUUCGGCGGAUGGGGAUGAGCCUGCUGCUGAUUAGCUGUUUGGUGAGGUAAUGGCUCACCUCAGCGACAAUCAGUAACUUGUCUGAUACGACCAAGUCCCCCACUGGAACUGAAACACGGGCCUUACUCCUAUUGGACGCAGCGCUUUCGAAUAUUGGUCAAUGGGAGCAAUCCUGAACCUUUAAUGCCACGUGUGGGAUGAAAGCCCUUCCCCUCUUAAACCACUGUCGGAGCUGACGAAAGGAGCUAUGAAGCUCUAUGACGGUACUAUCAAAGGAAGGAUCGGCUAACUACGUGCUUUCAGCCCCGGUAGUACUUAUGAUCCAAGCGUUGUCCGGAGUUACUGGGUAUCCCCGGUGCGUAGGCGGCCUUGUGCGUCCCACGUGAAAUAUUCUGGCCUAUCUCUCAGGGUGCCUGUGAUUGAGCAUGGUCUGAGUGCGACAGACGAUGAUCGACUUCCUGAUGUAUCACUUCAAUGCGUAGAUAUCCGGACGAACACUCGUCGCUAAGGCAGUCAUCUGUCUCCCGACUGACCCUUACGGUAUUAAACCCUGGGGAUCAAAGGUGAUUACAUACCCUGGGGCUCAUCUCCCCACAUUACGUACGCGUGCUGUUCUGGUCUCUAGGUCCCGUGCCCUACGAGCUCGUGUAAGCACACCCCCUAGCGUUUACUAUCACAAGGAUGAA
rnacentral:rRNA from 1 species